rnacentral:rRNA from 1 species
GGAGUUAGCCGGUGCUUCUUCUGUGAGUGAUGUCCUUCCUGCCGGCUAUUAACCCGCAGGCCUUCUUCCUCACUGAAAGUGCUUUACAACCCUAAGGCCUUCUUCACACACGCGGCAUGGCUGGAUCAGGGUUGCCCCCAUUGUCCAAUAUUCCCCACUGCUGCCUCCCGUAGGAGUCUGGGCCGUGUCUCAGUCCCAGUGUGGCUGAUCAUCCUCUCAGACCAGCUACGGAUCGUCGCCUUGGUGAGCCGUUACCUCACCAACCAGCUAAUCCGACAUAGGCUCAUCCGAUAGCGCGAGGCCCGAAGGUCCCCCGCUUUCCCCCGUAGGGCGUAUGCGGUAUUAGCCUGGGUUUCCCCAGGUUAUCCCCCACUACCGGGCAGAUUCCUAUGCAUUACUCACCCGUCCGCCGCUCGCCACCAGGGAGCAAGCUCCCCGUGCUGCCGCUCGACUUGCAUGUGUUAGGCCUGCCGCCAGCGUUCAAUCUGAGCCAGGAUCAAACUCUGA